rnacentral:rRNA from 1 species
UACGUAGGGGGCAAGCGUUGUCCGGAAUCAUUGGGCGUAAAGAGCGUGUAGGCGGCUUGGUAAGUCCGCUGUGAAAGUCCAGGGCUCAACCCUGGAAAGCCGGUGGAAACUGUCAAGCUUGAGUCCGGAAGAGGCGAGUGGAAUUCCUGGUGUAGCGGUGAAAUGCGCAGGAUAUCAGGAGGAACACCGGUGGCGAAGGCGGGUCUCUGGGCAGUAACUGACGUGAGGAGCGAAAGCGUGGGGGAGCGAACAGG